AACUUGUUGCUCGACUGUUCUUCCUUCAGUUCCAGACCGCCCACCCAUGAAUGCGAGAUACCUCAUUAACAUUUUCGUUGUCUCAGUUUUGCCAGCUCCACUCUCUCCACUGACCAAGAUAGAUUGGCUACCGUGUUCACAUUUUUGUUGUCUCAGUUUUGCCAGCUCCACUCUCCCCACUGACCAAGAUAGAUUGGCUACCGUGUUCAUUUAUCAAUGCCCUGAUAUGUGCAGUUUAAACUUGUUUGAUUAGGCAAGUCAUUCAUUUAAUGUGUGGUAUAACCUAAUAAUUUCAAUUGAACUUCUGAUUUACCUAUAACAGGCAUCUGCCACUGCAAAAAGAUGUGGACUUAGCUCCCCAAAUGGGGCUCCCUUGUAUUGCUGCAUCAUAUGGAUAUCAUAGAGAUGUGGAAGUCUCCGAAAUGGAUUCACCGCAAUUAGGAUAUUCCCCGUGUAAGUCUGCAAAUUUGGGAUGUUUUUACAUCAAUAAGACUUGUUUUCUGCAGCUACUCUUUGUGAAGUUCACCAUUGAUUGAAAUGUAUGACUUACGUAUAUCUCAUUUAG
rnacentral:lncRNA from 1 species